rnacentral:rRNA from 1 species
UACGUAGGGUGCAAGCGUUAAUCGGAAUUACUGGGCGUAAAGCGUGCGCAGGCGGUUUCGUAAGUCUGUCGUGAAAUCCCCGGGCUUAACCUGGGAAUGGCGAUGGAGACUGCGGGGCUAGAGUUUGGCAGAGGGGGGUAGAAUUCCACGUGUAGCAGUGAAAUGCGUAGAGAUGUGGAGGAACACCGAUGGCGAAGGCAGCCCCCUGGGUCAAAACUGACGCUCAUGCACGAAAGCGUGGGGAGCAAACAGG